AUGGAGCACGGGGACGGACCCGGCGGUCCAGACCCUGGCGGGCAGCAGCGGGAGGAGGAGAUCAGUGACUCCGAAUCAGGCUCUGAAUCGCUCGAGAUCUCCGACCUCAAGAAGCGCAUGUGGAAGGACCAGAUGCUGUUGACGAGGCUCGAGGGCCGCACCGGCGCCAAGGGCGUGGCGCCGGCUCCAGCUGCCGGCGCAUCUUCCUCGUCGUCGUCGGGCCAAGAGGAGCCUCCCGACGUGCGGUGCCGCCGCAAGGCCAUGCUGCGCGCGCAGGACGGCGUGCUCCGGCACAUGCUCAGGAUGAUGGAGGCCUGCAACGCGCGCGGGUUCGUGUACGGCGUCAUCGACGAGGCCGGCGAGCCCAUGUCCGGCUCCUCCGACAGCCUCCGCGGCUGGUGGAAGGAGAACGUGAGCUUCGACCGCGCUGGCCCCAUGGGCCUGGCCGGCCCCAUGGGCGAGAGCCCGAUCGCCCUGGCCUCCUCCCUCCAUCGUCUCCAAGACAUCCAAGACAGCACGCUCGGAUCCGUGCUCUCUGCGCUCAUCCAGCACUGCGAGCCGCCGCAGAGGAGCUUCCCGCUGGAGCGCGGCCUGGCGCCGCCGUGGUGGCCGACGGGGCACGAGCCCUGGUGGGGCACGCAGGGCGAGAUGCAGGCCCACCAGGGCGUGCCACCGUACCGGAAGCCGCACGACCUAAAGAAGGCGUGGAAGAUCUCCCUGCUGAGCGCGGUGAUCAAGCACAUGAGCCCGCGCUUCGACCAGAUGCGCAAGCUCGUGUGGCAGUCCAAGCGGCUGCAGCAGAAGAUGAGCGCCAAGGAGUCCGAGACCUGGUCCAAGGUGCUUAGGCAGGAGGAGGCGCUCAGCAGCCGGCUAAAGAGCUCGCUGCGGAUCACGCCGUUCGAUCAGGAGGAGGAGGAAGAGGAGGAGGAGGAGGUGAAGAAGAAGAAGGUUGGGAAGGAGAGGGACGACGAUGGUCUGGAGAGCGUUGUGCGCGGCGCGCAGGACAAACGCAAGCGCGAGAUCUCUCGCACCGGCAGCUCCGGUGGGAGCGGAUCAGAGCUGACCAUAAUGCCGCCGGAUCAGCUCGCUGCUGCAAUCACAGAGGAGAGCCGGAGCCCGAUCGACGAGCUCAUGAAGCUUUACUACGGCUGCAUGCAGGGGGUCGAAAGCUACGGUGACCGGGAAAAGGACGAUCUGACACCGAUGCAUUCCGUAGUGCUCGGAAACAUAGAUGAGGUGGCGCAGGAUGUGCUCUUUGAUAUCAUCGGGAGCUGCCCUGAAAUAGAUGAUGUGCUGCGCUUGAUGGGGGAGUGA
rnacentral:rRNA from 1 species